AGCGAACGCUGGCGGCAGGCCUAACACAUGCAAGUCGAACGAACCUUUCGGGGUUAGUGGCGGACGGGUGAGUAACACGUGGGAACGUGCCUUUAGGUUCGGAAUAACUCAGGGGAACUUGUGCUAAUACCGAAUGUGCCCUUCGGGGGAAAGAUUUAUCGCCUUUAGAGCGGCCCGCGUCUGAUUAGCUAGUUGGUUGAGGUAAUGGCUCACCAAGGCGACGAUCAGUAGCUGGUCUGAGAGGAUGAUCAGCCACAUUGGGACUGAGACACGGCCCAAACUCCUACGGGAGGCAGCAGUGGGGAAUCUUGCGCAAUGGGCGAAAGCCUGACGCAGCCAUGCCGCGUGAAUGAUGAAGGUCUUAGGAUUGUAAAAUUCUUUCACCGGGGACGAUAAUGACGGUACCCGGAGAAGAAGCCCCGGCUAACUUCGUG
rnacentral:rRNA from 1 species